rnacentral:rRNA from 1 species
UACGUAGGUGGCAAGCGUUAUCCGGAUUUAUUGGGCGUAAAGGGAACGCAGACGGUCUUUUAAGUCUGAUGUGAAAGCCUUCGGCUUAACCGGAGUAGUGCAUUGGAAACUGGGAGACUUGAGUGCAGAAGAGGAGAGUGGAACUCCAUGUGUAGCGGUGAAAUGCGUAGAUAUAUGGAAGAACACCAGUGGCGAAAGCGGCUCUCUGGUCUGUAACUGACGCUGAGGUUCGAAAGCGUGGGUAGCAAACAGG